rnacentral:rRNA from 1 species
GACGAACGCUGGCGGCGUGCUUAACACAUGCAAGUCGAACGGAAAGGCCCUGCUUUUGUGGGGCGCUCGAGUGGCGAACGGGUGAGUAACACGUGAGUAACCUGCCCUUGACUUUGGGAUAACUUCAGGAAACUGGGGCUAAUACCGGAUAGGAGCUCCUGCUGCAUGGUGGGGGUUGGAAAGUUUCGGCGGUUGGGGAUGGACUCGCGGCUUAUCAGCUUGUUGGUGGGGUAGUGGCUUACCAAGGCUUUGACGGGUAGCCGGCCUGAGAGGGUGACCGGCCACAUUGGGACUGAGAUACGGCCCAGAAUCCUACGGGAGGCAGCAGUGGGGAAUAUUGCACAAUGGGCGGAAGCCUGAUGCAGCAACGCCGCGUGCGGGAUGACGGCCUUCGGGUUGUAAACCGCUUUCGCCUGUGACGAAGCGUGAGUGACGGUAAUGGGUAAAGAAGCACCGGCUAACUACGUG